AGCCCUGUUGCCUGGGGAGAGGGUGAUGCUUGACUUUCUUGUACAGCUGCAGUUUGUGUGGUGAAGGUGCUCCCACAAUGUGGUUGGGAUACUACAGGUGGACAUUCAGAUGGUAAUCCCAGUCAUUGUAACACCUAACUCUGAUUGAAUUAGUCAGUUCAUCAGGACCUGUAUAUUCGCAUUGUGUAAUCCUCUCCAAUAAUUUGCCCACAACUGAUGUAAGACUGACUCAUCGAUGAUUCCCAGGAUUAUCUCAAUUGCCUUUCUUGACUAAGGAAAUAACGUUUGCCACCCUCCAAUCAUCUGGUAUGACUCCAGUGGACAGUGAGGAUGCAAAGACCAUCACCAAAACACAGUAAUCACUUCCCUCGCUUCCCAUAACAACCUAAGUCAUAUCCUUUCUGGCCCAGGGGACUUAUCUACCCCCAUGAGUUUUCAAUAUGUUCAGCACAUUCUCCGCCUUAACAUCAACCUGUUCGACCAUAUCAGCCUGUUUCACGCUGUCCUCACAGGAACAAGGUCCCACUCACUCGUGAAUACUGAAGCAAAGUUCUCAUUAAGGACCUCCCCUAUCCCCUCUGACUCCUGGCACAAGUUUGCUUCACUAUAAGGGGUAUUAAUGUGGAAUUAUG